UACAGAGGGUGCGAGCGUUGUCCGGAAUCACUGGGCGUAAAGGGCGCGUAGGUGGCGACCCAAGUCUGUGGUGAAAGCUCGACGCUCAACGUCGAGUCGGCCAUAGAUACUGGGUUGCUGGAGCACUGUAGAGGCAGAUGGAAUUCCGGGUGUAGCGGUGGAAUGCGUAGAGAUCCGGAAGAACACCGGUGGCGAAGGCGGUCUGCUGGGCAGUUGCUGACACUGAGGCGCGACGGCGUGGGGAGCAAACAGG
rnacentral:rRNA from 1 species